UCUUUCGAGAAUCAUACAGGAAACAAAUCUUUCAGACCUUUGAAAUAUUUGGAACUUGGAGCAUAAUGCUCUGGCAGAUGCUUCGUAUUCAGUCUUCCAUGCACAAUUGCCGUUGCUCCCUAACUGGUAGUUCCGGUUCUCACCAGAUGCAGGAUUAAUUUAAAUGAGCACAAGGCUGACUGAGUGCGGAAUUCCAACUGAUAUGUCAUGAAGGUCACAAUGGAUAGCAAUUAUGACAUCAGUCGCGUGGCCACAACAAGUGGGAUAGGAGGUGGAGGACGAGUUGGAUCAUGAGCCAGCAAUACCUCAUGUCCAAGGGCAGAUUUCAGGGCCCGGGCUGCCAGGGCUAGCUGCAGCCCGGGAAGUAGCCCAAAGUCUUCAAUAACAGCUCUGCUAUGCACUGCAAAAAGAGCUCAAGUAAAUUGCCUUAAGCCUCACUCGACGGUGCCGAAACAUGGCCUCAGUGCCUCCUAACAGCUCUGCGAUUGAAUUUUAGCAAAAUUUCUACCCUUCUAAAGGGUGUAUGUUAGUAAAAUUUCUACCCUUCAAAUUGAACCCCCCUCCUAAACCAUUUCUAAAUCCGUCACUGCUCGUGUCAGCCUAGGUGCCUUGGAGAAUUGGUUCACACGAUUUCCCUCACCAAAGCAGUGGUAGAAGACGACUAUUUUGCUUCAUGAAUUCCCUAUGCAUCCCAAGCCUAUGGUAAUUCUGAAGCAGAUAUGAGCUUUCCCUUGAGGAUGCGUGCAUCCUGAAGGUUAAGUAGGCUUCAGAACUUUAUAGCAGAGAAACCACUUGUCAGCUUGUAUGCAAUUGAUCACACUUGAGCCUUCUUGCCAGUGUGCCACGAAGUGUUUUGCUCACCACAGGACAGGCACAUUAAGGAUUUAUAAAGCAUAUAAGUUAGAACAAAUGAACAAGGAACCAGAGCAGUUAUCCGCUUGGGAUUGAAAUAGUGAGGCCACAACCGAAGCUAUAAACUGGAUCUAACCAAGACUCCAUGAGCCUAAAAUAUUGCUCUAUUAUAAAAGGCAAAAUUUGCUACCAGACAUGCCAAGUGACCCCUCUUUGCUAGCGGAUAUGCAAAAUUUGACGAUUUGCUGGUGGAUACUCUGGUUCUUUACAAGUUUAUUGGUGGACACUCAACCCAAUAAAGUAUUAUUUUUCAGCUGUUGAGGAUAGAGAAGGGUGGUAAAAUAUCCAAUUCGCCCCUACACCUCUCUUCUACCUUGGCCUUCUCUCUCCCUUUUCUUCUUCUUCUUCUUCUCCAUUGAGAUCGUGGCC
rnacentral:lncRNA from 1 species